rnacentral:rRNA from 1 species
CCCUGCCAUUUGUACACACCGCCCGUCGCUGCCCGGGACUGAGCCGCUUCGAGAAGAAUGGGGACUGUCGGUUGAGGGUUCAUUUGGACUUUCUUCAGACGGAAACCAUUUUAAUCGCAGCGGCUUGAACCGGGCAAAAGUCGUAACAAGGUU